rnacentral:lncRNA from 1 species
UCCUCGUUUCUCAUCCACUCCAUCUUCAAAAUGGAGUAAAUAUUAAGAGACGAUUUGGAAAUACAACUAAUGCUUUCUUUUAACAAGAAAGAAACAAAUAUUGAUUCAACUACUUGGCAUCACUUCUAAAAUUAAUGCCUUCUUGGGGUCAAUUUAUUUGGCUGACUUGUAGUUAAGUCUGUUUUGUUGUUUUUUCUGCCACUGUUAAUUUCUCUGGUGACUACGACUAUUUAUAAGUUGGGUGGACUGGAAAUACAAAGGCUUGAAAGUUUUCUUGUAGGACAGACUGAAUGAGAAAUCAGUUACCUCUUUUGCUUUCAGCUCAGCUUCCAUAGCUGCCUUAGUUGAGUUCUCCCAUGCAGUAAUAGAUGACAUCUUUUUAGCAGCCCUGUUUGACAUUGUCAGGAAGCCAGAUUAUAAUUUCCAACCUGAUAUAUAUUUUGAAUAACGAUCAAUAGUAAAGGCAACAAUUGAUGUUUCCACAAUCAUCCACCAAUAUGAAGAGGUAAUGCACUGUUCUAGAAAAACCCUACACCAGUAUCAUACAAACUUGACAAAAUUUUCAUCAACCUAGUCUUGAGACAGAUGGAAAGCUAAGUGUUGGACAAUUAGCUGAAGAAAGAAUGAAUCUUGGUGGGGAAACCACAAAUAUUAUCA